GAGCGGCGAACGGGUGAGUAACACGUGAGUAACCUGCCCCUAGCUCUGGGAUAAGCCCGGGAAACUGGGUCUAAUACCGGACAUGCACCUCUCACCGCAUGGUGGGUGGUGGAAAGUUUUUCGGCUGGGGAUGGGCUCGCGGCCUAUCAGCUUGUUGGUGGGGUGAUGGCCUACCAAGGCGACGACGGGUAGCCGGCCUGAGAGGGCGACCGGCCACACUGGGACUGAGACACGGCCCAGACUCCUACGGGAGGCAGCAGUGGGGAAUAUUGCGCAAUGGGCGGAAGCCUGACGCAGCGACGCCGCGUGGGGGAUGAAGGCCUUCGGGUUGUAAACCUCUUUCACCACCGACGAAGCGAAAGUGACGGUAGGUGGGGAAGAAGCGCCGGCUAACUACGUGCCAGCAGCCGCGGUAAUACGUAGGGCGCAAGCGUUGUCCGNAAUUAUUGGGCGUAAAGAGCUCGUAGGCGGUCUGUUGCGUCUGCCGUGAAANCCCGAGGCUUANCCUCGGGCCUGCGGUGGAUACGGGCAGACUAGAGGUAGGUAGGGGAGAAUGGANUUCCC
rnacentral:rRNA from 1 species